rnacentral:tRNA from 1 species
GACAGUAUGGCCGAGUGGUUAAGGCGCUAGACUUGAAUCAAUUCGAGAUAUCUAGUUCUUUCGAGAUCCAGGGUUCAAAUCCCUGUGCUGUCG